CAGUCGCCGCGGUAAUACGAAGGGUGCAAGCGUUAAUCGGAAUUACUGGGCGUAAAGCGUGCGUAGGCGGUGAGAUAAGUCAGCUGUGAAAUCCCCGGGCUCAACCUGGGAAUGGCAUUUGAUACUGGAUCGCUAGAGUGUGUCAGAGGAUGGUGGAAUUCCAGGUGUAGCAGUGAAAUGCGUAGAGAUCUGGAGGAAUAUCAAUGGCGAAGGCAGCCAUCUGGGACAACACUGACGCUGAUGCACGAAAGCGUGGGGAGCAAACAGGAUUAGAUACCCCCGUAGUCCCUGUCUCUUAUAC
rnacentral:rRNA from 1 species